UACAAGAAUAGCCACCCUUGCCGCAAGGCAAGUCCGGAAAACCACAGGGUCUUUGCAACGAAGACAGCCUGGUUGCCUCC
rnacentral:ncRNA from 1 species